rnacentral:rRNA from 1 species
AGAGUUUGAUCCUGGCUCAGGACGAACGCUGGCGGCGUGCCUAAUACAUGCAAGUCGAACGAAGCUUUCUUUCACCGAAUGCUUGCAUUCACCGAAAGAAGCUUAGUGGCGAACGGGUGAGUAACACGUAGGCAACCUGCCCAAAAGAGGGGGAUAACACUUGGAAACAGGUGCUAAUACCGCAUAACCAUGAACACCGCAUGAUGUUCAUGUAAAAGACGGCUUUUGCUGUCACUUUUGGAUGGGCCUGCGGCGUAUUAACUUGUUGGUGGGGUAACGGCCUACCAAGGUGAUGAUACGUAGCCGAACUGAGAGGUUGAUCGGCCACAUUGGGACUGAGACACGGCCCAAACUCCUACGGGAGGCAGCAGUAGGGAAUCUUCCACAAUGGACGAAAGUCUGAUGGAGCAACGCCGCGUGAAUGAAGAAGGCCUUCGGGUCGUAAAAUUCUGUUGUCAGAGAAGAACGUGCGUGAGAGUAACUGUUCACGUAUUGACGGUAUCUGACCAGAAAGCCACGGCUAACUACGUGCCAGCAGCCGCGGUAAUACGUAGGUGGCAAGCGUUGUCCGGAUUUAUUGGGCGUAAAGGGAACGCAGGCGGUCUUUUAAGUCUGAUGUGAAAGCCUUCGGCUUAACCGAAGUAGUGCAUUGGAAACUGGAAGACUUGAGUGCAGAAGAGGAGAGUGGAACUCCAUGUGUAGCGGUGAAAUGCGUAGAUAUAUGGAAGAACACCAGUGGCGAAAGCGGCUCUCUGGUCUGUAACUGACGCUGAGGUUCGAAAGCGUGGGUAGCAAACAGGAUUAGAUACCCUGGUAGUCCACGCCGUAAACGAUGAGUGCUAAGUGUUGGAGGGUUUCCGCCCUUCAGUGCUGCAGCUAACGCAUUAAGCACUCCGCCUGGGGAGUACGGUCGCAAGACUGAAACUCAAAGGAAUUGACG